UUUUGCUACCUAGUUUCUCCUUAUCAAGAUGUCUCCACAAACAUUUGCUAAUGGACAUACCCACAAAGGAACUGGAUGGGUAGGUUUUUUUUUUUUUUUUUUUUUUAAAAAAAAAAAAGUUAGGCCACAGAAGUUACUGGAAGGGGAGGGGUAGAGGGUACUUUUCUUUGAGAACUGAAUACUUCC